ACGAACGCUGGCGGCGUGCCUAACACAUGCAAGUCGAACGGGACCAGGGGCAACUCUGGUUCAGUGGCGAACGGGUGCGUAACACGUGAAGAACUUGUCCUUCGGCGGGGGAUAGCCGGCCCAACGGCCGGGUAAUACCGCGUACGACCGGACCGGGGCAUCCCGGACCGGUGAAAGCAGCAAUGCACCGAUGGAGAGCUUCGCGGCCUAUCAGCUAGUUGGUGAGGUAACGGCUCACCAAGGCGACGACGGGUAGCUGGUCUGAGAGGAUGAUCAGCCACAUUGGGACUGAGACACGGCCCAGACUCCUACGGGAGGCAGCAGUGGGGAAUAUUGCGCAAUGGGCGAAAGCCUGACGCAGCGACGCCGCGUGUGGGAUGACGGCCUUCGGGUUGUAAACCACUGUCGGGAGGGACGAAGAUCUGACGGUACCUCCAAAGGAAGCACCGGCUAACUCUGU
rnacentral:rRNA from 1 species